rnacentral:rRNA from 1 species
UACAGAGGUCUCAAGCGUUGUUCGGAUUCAUUGGGCGUAAAGGGUGCGUAGGUGGCGCGCUAAGUCGGGUGUGAAAUCUCGGAGCUUAACUCCGAAAUUGCAUUCGAUACUGGCGUGCUUGAGGACUGGAGAGGAGACUGGAAUUCAUGGUGUAGCAGUGAAAUGACGUAGAGAUCAUGAGGAAGACCAGUGGCGAAGGCGGGUCUCUGGACAGUUCCUGACACUGAGGCACGAAGGCCAGGGGGAGCAAAACGGGG